AAACACCCAUCUCCAAAGGGAAGAUCCAUCAGCUCCACGUCAACCACAAAGGAGAGAUUUACAGACCUGUCAUCAACCGUGAGCGGUGCCUGCACUCCAGGAAGGGCACUGAGAGUCACCCAGGUGUAGCCUCCACUCUUCAGAGAAUCAAUCAGAGGGGCCUCGACCAAGUAGCCAGCUUCUUGCGAUGCUGCAUGAAACAAAAUGCUCUUCAAGAUCCACGAGCUGAGGCUUCUUUGCUGUUAUGAGUGCUGGAAAGCUUCAAAGGCAAGAGGUCUGUUGGCAGACCUGAAAGAAGGUCUCCAGCCAAUAAACCAGAGGCAAAGGGACAAUUAACAGACUGCCGGACCCCAAUUACGGGCGGCCUAACACCAGCUAUGACUGUUUUGAAAUAAUGGGAAGGAAAAAAAGUGCAAGACCUUCACCACCUUGAUCCUCAUCACAUACCCCAGACUGCA